rnacentral:rRNA from 1 species
CGCAUGUAUGAAGAAGACCACUAAACGUUGUAAAGUACUAAGCUCGGGGAUAAUAAUGACGGUACCCGAGUAAAAAGCCCUGACUAACUUCGUGCCAGCAGUCGCGGUAAAACGGAGAGGGCAAGUGUUAUUCGUAUUGACUGGGUGUAAAGGGUACGUAGGCGGUUAUUUAAGUUAUAAAAAAAAGCUAUAUCUUUUUAUAAUACUAUAUGACUAGAGUUAAAAAGGGGAUGGCGGUACCUCCAGUUUAGAAGUGACAUUCGUUUGAGAUUGGGGGGACCAACAAUAGGCGACGGCUGCUUUCCAUUUUUAUACUGACGCUGAGGUACGAAAGCAUGGGGAGCGAACAGGAUUAGAGACCCUGGUAGUCCAUGCCCUGACCUAUGAAUAUUAAUCGUCCAUUUAGAUAGUGGAUGACUAAGCUAACGCGAAAAUAUUCCACCUGAGGACUACGGCCGCAAGGUUAAAACUCAAAGAAAUUGGCGGAAGAUCGUUUAAGCGGUGGAGUAUGUGGUUUAAUUCGAUAAUACGCGAAAAACCUUACCAAUCUUUGUGCACAUUUUCGGUUAUACAAAACUCGUAGUCUGGAUUGAGGUGGUCAAUUUGGACUAAUUAUGUGCCAGGCGUUGCAUGGCUGUCGUAAGCUCGUGUCUUAGGAUGUGUGGUUAACUCCAUGAACGGGCGCAACCCUUGUUCCUAAUUAGAUUAGGAAUGAAAACAGUGAAAACUGCUUUUGAGGAUGAGGAGUAUGUCAAGUCAAUAUGACCUUUAUAGAUUGGGCUACACACGUACUACAACGGUAGCUACAAUGAGAAACAAUGCCGUGAGGCGGAGUAAAUCUCUAAAAUCUACCCUAGUUCGGAUUAUUUUUUGAAAUAAAAAUAUGAAGCCGGAAUCGCUAGUAAUCGCAAAAAAGAAUGUUGCGGUGAAUAUUAAGACCGAUCUUAGUACACACCGCCCGUCACGCCAUGGAAGCUUGUUUGGUUUGAAGAUAUUAAGUCACAUGUUUCGAAGUGAUUAUUCCUUAAUAAGUUCAUGUUAUGUGUGUUACUGGUAUCGACAAUUAUAUAGGUAA